rnacentral:rRNA from 1 species
GACGAACGCUGGCGGCGUGCUUAACACAUGCAAGUCGAACGGAAAGGCCCUGCUUGCAGGGUACUCGAGUGGCGAACGGGUGAGUAACACGUGGGUGAUCUGCCCUGCACUUCGGGAUAAGCUUGGGAAACUGGGUCUAAUACCGGAUAGGAGCCAUCUUUAGUGUGGUGGUUGGAAAGUUUUUUCGGUGUAGGAUGAGCUCGCGGCCUAUCAGCUUGUUGGUGGGGUAAUGGCCUACCAAGGCGGCGACGGGUAGCCGGCCUGAGAGGGUGUACGGCCACAUUGGGACUGAGAUACGGCCCAGACUCCUACGGGAGGCAGCAGUGGGGAAUAUUGCACAAUGGACGCAAGCCUGAUGCAGCGACGCCGCGUGGGGGAUGAAGGCCUUCGGGUUGUAAACUCCUUUCGCUAGGGACGAAGCUUUUUGUGACGGUACCUAGAUAAGAAGCACCGGCUAACUACGUG